UACGGAGGGUGCAAGCGUUAUCCGGAUUUACUGGGUUUAAAGGGUGCGUAGGCGGGUAGGUAAGUCAGUGGUGAAAUCUCCGAGCUUAACUCGGAAACUGCCUUUGAUACUAUUUAUCUUGAAUAUUGUGGAGGUAAGCGGAAUAUGUCAUGUAGCGGUGAAAUGCUUAGAUAUGACAUAGAACACCUAUUGCGAAGGCAGCUUACUACGCAUAUAUUGACGCUGAGGCACGAAAGCGUGGGGGAUCAAACAGG
rnacentral:rRNA from 1 species